UACGUAGAAGACUAGUGUUAUUCAUCUUUAAUAGGUUUAAAGGGUACCUAGACGGUAUAAUUAGUCUUUAACAGGAAAACGGUUAUACUAGAGUUAUAUAUGAGGAGGUGAGUAUUUGUGGAGUAGAGUUGAAAUUCUUUGAUACCAUGGAAGAACUGGUAAAGGCGAAAGCAACCUUUUAUCUAAUAACUGACGUUGAGGGACGAAGGCGUCGGGAUCGCGAA
rnacentral:rRNA from 1 species